AAAAAAACCCACCACCACCUACCGUCGCCAGGACCAUCAUCACUGCCACCACCCUCACACCACCAUCCAACCUCAUUCACUCUCUAUUCCCUUCUGCAUAAAUACCUAAAAAUCUUCCCAUCGUUACCGCACCGGAUCCAACCCCUAAACAACACAAUGGCGAGAGUAGAUCUCGACGGAAACGUCAUAAAACCAUUGACGAUAUGCAUGAUCAGUGUCGGAUGAUUCAUCAGCUCGUAUUUGUGCGAGAAGUUAAUGUCGGAGACGCCACACGCGGUGUUGGCUAUUGAUGUGUAUAAUGAUAAGAUCAAGCAUCUGCUUGAACCGGACUCGAUUCCGUGGAAUGGACGUAUUCAGUUUCAUCGGUGUAAAAUUAAGAAUGAUUCUCGCCUUGAAGGACUCAUUAAGUGCUCCGAUCUGCCACCAACAUUUGUUCUCCACAGCGACCCAGAAUCGUACAGUCUCAGUUCCGGCUGCCAGUUCCGGUCAUCGCUUUCACGUCCCCUGCUCAGUUGAAGUAACAUUCUCAAUGAAGAAGAAGUUGCAAAAGGAAGCGCUUUCCGCUUGUUCUGCUGCUGUAGCCACCUCCACAGUUGACCUUAAAACCGUGAUCCACGACCAUGCUCUGUUCUUUGACAAACUAGUCGAAUUAAUCCCCGCAAAGUUCUACCUUCCAGUCGAUGAAGAUUCGAAACCCUGGUUUCAAGGUCUCAGCAAAGACAAAAAAGCAUCUCUUAAACAACAAACGCGUGAAAACAUCAAGAAAUCCCGCCGUGAUCGUCUGGACCCCGAGAAAUCACAAACCACGACCCUGGAUCUUCUAAAGAAAAGCAUCAGUAAGGACACAAACGAAGAUAAGGAUUCAGACGAAGAGGACGACGAUGACGAAGAGGAAGAAAUUGAAAUCAAAGUGAAACCGGUAUCGGAGUUUGACGGUGAAACCAGUAACAGUCACAAGUCGGUUACAUAUGAGGAGUUGCAACAGAGACUGCAUCAUAAGCUUGAAAUGCUUCGCGCGAACCGAGGCCAGGGGAAACGAACAAUGAUAAUGAACGAGGUUAGAAAAAGGGAUAAUUAUACCGACAAGAAACGUAAACGGGAAGAUAAAGACAGUGGUAGUAACAAUAGAGAUGCCAGUGGUAGUGGUAAGGGAAAGGGUAAGAUCGAGGCCGAUUAUGAAUUCGGGAAAGUGAAAUUGGGAGAUGAAGAUGGAAACAGGAAGAAAGCGAAAAAGGCUUCGAAACUGAAAGAGUUGGAGAAAGCGAAGAAGCUGCAGGAAGCGAAGAAAGAAAAUGUUGUGGUGGCUACAAAGCAUUCGUGGAAGGCUGCGACGGAAAAGGCGAUGGGAGUGAAGGUUCAUGAUGACCCGAAGUUGUUGAAGAGGAGUUUGCAGAAGGAGAAGAAGAGGCGGGAAAAGAGUGCGGGGAAGUGGAAGGAUAGGGUGGAGACGCAAGAGAAGAUGAGGGAAGAGAAGCAGGCGAAGAGAAGAGGGAAUAUAGAAGAGAGGGCUAACCAGAAGAAAGCGAGGAAGAUUGCUAAGAGAGAGAAGAAGCUCAUGAGGCCUGGGUUUGAAGGCCGAAAAGAAGGAUAUAUCGGUGAAAAAAGUGGUUAAAAGUAGAGUGUGAUCUAAAGCUAUACGUUCUUGAAGUCGGACGUUUUUCAAGGUAGCCUGAUUAUAAUGCUUUUUUGAAUGAAUUCGGGGCACACAAUAGGCUGAGUUUCUUCAAUCAUAAAUAAUUUUGAACGUGGGUUACUGGUAGUUAUCUUUCCAUUCUAUAUGUGAUCGCUUUUUAUCGUUGAAGAAAGACGGUGGAAAGCUUAGGGCUCAGUGUGCAAAGUCGAUGAAAUUCAAGGAUGGAUACAUGGUAUCAUCUGGUCAGCCGGUCAAAGAGUAUAUUGACUCUGCUGUCAGACAUGUGCGACAGGUUUAGGAAUUGACUUUACGCUUUUUAGAUGUUUUUGGCUGACAUUUUCAAGGAUUACCUGAAUUUGUUAAUAUCAAGCCGGGUGUUCUUGGUAUCAAGGUUAAGAUCAUGCUUGACUGCGACCCAAUUGGCAAGCUUGGGCCCAAGACACCGCUGCCCGACAAUGUUGUAAUUCAUAUGCCUAAGGACGAUGUGGCCGCACUUCCACCCAAAGAAGUUGAAGAAUACAGGCCACCACUUGUGCUUGGUGAUGAGCCCUUGCCCAUGCCGGUAUCAGUCUAAAUCUAUGGUGGUCCAAAGACUUCCUAAGUUUUGGAAGAUAAAUUUUGGUUAUCUUGUUGAAUUUGCUUAGACAACACUUUUCUUUCUGGAACUAGUUCAAGCAGGUUUUGUUACUUUGGAGUGAUAUUGUUAGGUUUUUUUUUAUUGAAUUUUAAUGGUUAAUUAU